rnacentral:rRNA from 1 species
AGAGUUUGAUCAUGGCUCAGAUUGAACGCUGGCGGCAUGCCUUACACAUGCAAGUCGAGCGGCAGCGCGGGGGCAACCCUGGCGGCGAGCGGCGAACGGGUGAGUAAUGCAUCGGAACGUGUCCUCUUGUGGGGGAUAACCAGUCGAAAGACUGGCUAAUACCGCAUGAGAUCGAGAGAUGAAAGCGGGGGACCGCAAGGCCUCGCGCGAGAGGAGCGGCCGAUGCCGGAUUAGCUAGUUGGCGGGGUAACGGCCCACCAAGGCGACGAUCCGUAGCUGGUCUGAGAGGACGACCAGCCACACUGGGACUGAGACACGGCCCAGACUCCUACGGGAGGCAGCAGUGGGGAAUUUUGGACAAUGGGCGCAAGCCUGAUCCAGCCAUGCCGCGUGUGUGAAGAAGGCCUUCGGGUUGUAAAGCACUUUCGGCCGGAACGAAAUCGCCCGUGUUAACAGCGCGGGUGGAUGACGGUACCGGAAGAAGAAGCACCGGCUAACUACGUGCCAGCAGCCGCGGUAAUACGUAGGGUGCGAGCGUUAAUCGGGAUUACUGGGCGUAAAGUGUGCGCAGGCGGCCGCGCAAGUCGAGUGUGAAAUCCCCGAGCUUAACUUGGGAAUUGCGCUCGAAACUACGUGGCUCGAGUGUGGCAGAGGAAGGUGGAAUUCCACGUAGCGGUGAAAUGCGUAGAGAUGUGGAGGAACACCGAUGGCGAAGGCAGCCUUCUGGGCCAACACUGACGCUCAUGCACGAAAGCGUGGGGAGCAAACAGGAUUAGAUACCCUAGUAGUCC